GUUCGUCUGAUAGACUAGAGGGAGAAGAUUGUGGUUUGAAGGGGAAGAAGCUUGAGGGAUGACUGGGGCGAGUAUCAUUGGCAGGAAGACCAAGGCCUUCAGCCUGGAGCUGCCUUUGGCUGGUCUCAUUAGACAUAUUCAGAAUAAGCCAUCAGAGGUGGAUCUUACUUCUGUGGGACCUGCCCUUGGGCCUGUGACCUGAUGCCACCCUGGCCCUGUCCUUUGCUGAGAGUUGUCCACACCUUCCAGACUCAGGUGGCACAUGGUCGGGUAGACAGAUGCCACUUUCUGUGAAUGCAAGUUGGGAGUGACACUAUCUCCCAUCAGCUGAGAGACAUAUACUUUGACAGUGUUUGUCUCUGGCCCUUCUGCCUUCUGCCAUGGAUGAUGCAGAGAGAAGGGCCUUUCCAGAUGCAAGUUUCUCCACCUUGGACUUCCCAGCCUUGAGAACUGUAAGAAACAAUCUCUGUUCUUUAUAGAGCACCAAGUCUCAGAUAUCCUGUUAUGGCAGCACAAAAGAAAGCUCAUCCAGAGAAUGGUAUCCUCACAGACACCACUGGGCAAAAAGUCCUGAUCUGGGGCUCAGGGAAUUUGCCUACCUUUCCUGGUUCUGAUGUUGCUUCUUUGGGUGUGGAAGGCCAGGUCCCAGGCUCGCUGCUCCCCAUACUGAGCCACCAGUUGUGAGGCCACCUCCGUGCCACUUGCCUUCUCUGGUUGAGCUGGUGUCACACCAGAAGAACACCCAAAGAGUGUUUUGUUGGAUAGCCGAAGCUGGAAUUCCUUCAGCUCCUCUUUCGGCAGUAGCUCCAGAUUCUUCCUUCUCCUGGGAUCUGGACUCUUGGAAUCAACCCUUGAGACACAGCACUGAGAGGAGUUUCUUCAUUGGCAGAGAAGAUAUCAUAUGGGAAGCUCUCUAAAAGAGAGGUUGUAAGGAUUAACUGAGAGAGUCCGUGUAAAGAGAGAAAAUUGUGAGAAGAAAAAGGAUGACGUUUCUGCCCCAGGGAGGUCACAGUCUAAAGGAACAGUUGACUGACAUGAAGACCAGUGACCCCAGAUUACAGAAGACUCCAGAAGGCUCCAGACUUCCUAUUGAGAAGUCCGAGAUGGGGUGUGUGUGUGUUGGAGAUCCCAUGUACAUCUAUGGGAGCAGCUGAUACCGGGUCCUGGAUAAUAGCUGUCACCUUAGGGCAUGGCCUUAAUGUGGUCAGCUCUUCUGACUUUCCAAGGCUUCACACCUCUGAAGUAGCCCUCCACAUUUUGAAAAGCUCCCCUUUCUGCCACCGCCUCCCUUUUCCUGUUUGGAGUCUGAGAUAGUCAAAAGCCCUUCUGGUUCCAGUGUGUAAAUUUAUUCGGAGAUGGGUGCCUCUCCAAGCCUGUUGUCUCAGCCAAAGCAGGACACUUAGAGUUGAUUAUCGCAUUACCACCGUGCUGAUGUGGAGUGCUGAUCUGCAAGUAAGACUGCACAACACGGAGAAGAUGAGCACUUUAGAAGAAGUGGUUCCCUUCCACACAUCCAGAUAAAAGGUGGCAUGUUGAUGCAGGGCACAUAAUUUGGCGAUGGCAAGACAUUAUCUUUUCUUUAUGAAUAAUAGAAGAUGUUUGGCUGGCUCAUAAUCUUUAAAAAACUGUAGUCAUAGUAACACAUGUGUCGCCCCUUAAUAUGAGAAUUUUCCCCCUUAAAGACAACAGCCUAUUUUACAACAUGUUCUUA